AUGCACGCUGGCGGCGUGCUUAACCCCUGCAAGUCGAACGGUGAAGGCGGAGCUUGCUCUGCUGGAUCAGUGGCGAACGGGUGAGUAACACGUGAGCAAUCUGCCCCUGACUCUGGGAUAAGCGCUGGAAACGGCGUCUAAUACUGGAUACGAGCUGCGAAGGCAUCUUCAGCAGCUGGAAAGAAUUUCGGUCAGGGAUGAGCUCGCGGCCUAUCAGCUUGUUGGUGAGGUAAUGGCUCACCAAGGCGUCGACGGGUAGCCGGCCUGAGAGGGUGACCGGCCACACUGGGACUGAGACACGGUCCAGACUCCUACGGGAGGCAGCAGUGGGGAAUAUUGCACAAUGGGCGAAAGCCUGAUGCAGCAACGCCGCGUGAGGGACGACGGCCUUCGGGUUGUAAACCUCUUUUAGCAGGGAAGAAGCGAAAGUGACGGUACCUGCAGAAAAAGCGCCGGCUAACUACGUG
rnacentral:rRNA from 1 species